UUUCCCUUAUUUCUUUUAGGGGAAUCUGGAUUGGGAAAGUCGACAUUAAUCAACUCAUUAUUCCUCACAGAUUUGUAUUCUCCAGAGUACCCAGGUCCUUCUCAUAGAACUAAAAAGACUGUACAGGUAUGCCCCCUAGCUAUUAACAGAAGCAAACUCUUGCUGUUUAUUUAUGACAGAACACACAUGCAGGACUUGAAAGAUGUUACUAACAAUGUCCACUGCGAGAACUAUGGAAGCAGAAAACUGGCAGCUGUGACUUACAAUGGAGUUGAUAACAACAAGAAUAAAGGGCAGCUGACUAAG
rnacentral:lncRNA from 1 species